AGCUUUCCCCGAGGCGCCCGCGAGAGCCGACUAAGCUUUGCGGGCUCCGCGUCGUUGCCUUCGGGGCCCGCAACGAAGGCGGUAUUAGGGCUUCGAACCAGUCGCGGCUCAGUCCUGAAACAAAAGAAAUAGGGAGUCUCCGAGCGAGUGCGGAAUGCGUUUCCCGCAGCCCCGAUAGACCACCGCAUGCACACACGGAUACGCCGCCCCUAUGGGAUGGUGGAAGGACUCCAGCAUGCAAGGGAGGCUCUGCGGCAGGCUCCAGCUCCAGCACGCUUUUCUUGGAAAUGAACGUGCCUUGUCAGGCGUGGGUAUUGAUUUUUUUAAGGGAUGCCCGUGGCAGCAGAAGCACCUGGUUUUGUUUCACGAUCAAGAGGAAAAAAGCCAGUUCCAGUGAUUGUGUCCUGUCUCUGGUAGAAGAGCACAUAGGCUGCUUUGGACUGCAGAAUUAAAAAAACAACAACAUACAGUACUAAUUAUCAAAGUCAUAUCUUCUAUUAUCUCAAUUUUCCCUAGUUCAGAGUCUCAAUCUUAUUAAAGGAAGUGACUCUACCAUAGAAACUAAAGAGUUCUAUUCAAGUAAACAAGGCACAGUUUAUACCAUCUUUUAUAUGAUCUCUAUAUGUUUCACCUUUAUGUUACACAGAUAAACACUGUUAGCCUGACCUUUAGGGUAAGGUGAAGCAUUCACCUAAGAAGGUCAGUCCACCCUGAUUUAAAACCCUCUAUGUUUGUCCUUGUCUGCAAUACCCAAAUUCAAAAUGUAUUUAUCAAAUAAAACGUAUAAUGCUUUCUACAAUUGUUUUCUGCAAGUGCUAAGCUCUGCAUAAUGUUUUAGAAUACUGCCUUUUUGUAUUCUGUAAAUCAUGCUCUUAAUAAAAGACCUAUGCAGAUUUGUCUCAGA